rnacentral:rRNA from 1 species
CCUACGGGUGGCAGCAGUGGGGAAUAUUGCACAAUGGGGGAAACUCUGAUCCAGCGAAGCAGCGUGCGUGAUGAAGUAAUUCGUUAUGUUAAGCUCUUUCAGCUGGGAAGAAAAUGACGGUUCCUGAGUAAGAAGCCCCGGCUACCUACGUGCCAGCAGCCGCGGUAAUACGUAGGGGGCAAGCGUUAUCUGGAUUUACUGGGUGUAAAGGGAGCGUAGACGGCAGUGCAAGUCAGGAGUGAAAGGCUGCGGCUCAACCCUCGGACUGCAGUGGAAACUGGACGGCUGGAGUGCAGGAGAGGUAAGUGGAAUUCCUAGUGUAGCGGUGAAAUGCGUAGAUAUUAGGAGGAACACCAGUGGCGAAGGCGAGUGACUGGACUGUAACUGACGUUGAGGCUCGAAAGCGUGGGUAGCAAACAGGAUUAGAUACCCUUGUAGUC